GAUCCUGGCUCAGGAUGAACGCUGGCGGCGUGCUUAACACAUGCAAGUCGAGCGAAGCACUUAAGUUUGAUUCUUCGGAUGAAGACUUUUGUGACUGAGCGGCGGACGGGUGAGUAACGCAUGGGUAACCUGCCUCAUACAGGGGGAUAACAGUUAGAAAUGACUGCUAAUACCGCAUAAGACCACGGUACCGCAUGGUACAGUUGUAAAAACUCCGGUGGUAUGAGAUGGACCCGCGU
rnacentral:rRNA from 1 species